UUUAGUGUCCCGGCGCUUUCGGACUCACCUUCCUCCUGCACGCAUUUGUAUGUUUCAGGACUUGGUGAUCUUUGAGGAUGUGGCUGUGGACUUCACCCUGGAGGAGUGGGCUUUGCUGGAUUCUAUGCAGAAGAACCUCUACAGAGAUGUGAUGCUGGAAACUUUCCAGAAUCUGGUCUCAGUGGAUUAUGAAACACUGUUUAAAGCCAGUGGUUUCUCAACAGGAUGCGCUUGAGAAAAAAAAUCUAUUGAACAGAAGAUGGCAAAAUUCACAAGAAAUCAUUCUUGUGCCUACAUUUUAGAAAAAAAUUGGGACGAUGACUGCAGUAAAGAUCAACAUGGAAAGCAUGCAAGACAUCAGAGAAAUCCUGCAACAGACAGAUUCUGUGAAAGUAAAGAAAGAAAGAAAACACAGAGAAGCUUGCAGCCAGCUUCC